UACGUAGGUGACAAGCGUUGUCCGGAUUUACUGGGCGUAAAGAGCGCGCAGGCGGUCGAUCAAGUCGAGUGUGAAAGCCCCCGGCUCAACUGGGGAGGGUCAUUCGAAACUGGUCGACUCGAAGGCAGGAGAGGGUAGUGGAAUUCCCGGUGUAGUGGUGAAAUGCGUAGAUAUCGGGAGGAACACCAGUGGCGAAGGCGACUCUUUGGUCUGUAACUGACGCUGAGGCGCGAAAGCGUGGGGAGCAAGCAGG
rnacentral:rRNA from 1 species